GCGGCGCUACUGCCAACACAAGUGCUGGGAUUAGAGGUGUGCACCACCUUCACUUGGCGAGGAGGAAAUUUUCUAUCUUCCCCAUUUUCACCUUUUCUUCUGGGGCCAUAGUCACCCGUUGACUAAGUGCUCACAGUUCUAGGUUGGAGUCCAACAUUGUGAGGAAGAAGAAGCAGGGGCUUGGGACAGCUGUUCACAUCAUCCACAGUCAAAGGUUAGGACUUCUUAUCAUCAAAGAGCCUGGUUUCACCUAUUAAAAUAACAUACUGAAGAAAUAUAACUUAAACUGUACCAAUGAGGCAUUUUCUUCAUAACUGAGGAAUGCACUUUUGCAACAUUGCACUGGCUGGAAAAGACCAAGAUCAAAAGUUCACAUCAUGUACCCCAAAUAAAUCUACUUAUGCUUUCAAAGUAAAUGAGACUGAGACUCUCUUCAACCACUGAAGCAAGAGUUUACUGUCAUUUUUGCUCCUGGGAAAGACUCCACGUCUCUGUGUGAAGAAUCCAGACAAAGUUCAGCUUCUAGUUAUAUGCUCCCAUCUGACUCCAGCGAACUCCAGGAAUAAAAUUGCCCAGGGUGAAUCCUACUUUAAUUCCCAGCUCACAAAAACAUGAAAAAAAUAGUAAAAUGAUGGUGGCUGAGUAGCACAUUGCCCUGCAACUGAUAAACCAGAAGGCAAAAGAAGUUUCAAGGAAGUUAAGUCAGACGUCUUUGAAAGGAAUGCUGCUAUCAGUGUCCAUUACUGGGGUUUUCAUUAAUAGUUUUUCUGUCUGUAAGCUGGAGAGACUUCAUCUCUUUGCUACUGCUUUCUGCUGACUGCUGCUGCUUAACACCUUCCUUCCAGCUGGGAGGGCAGCAGGGAUGUCUGCAUAUGCAGCUAAGGCCAGGAUGGCUCCUUAGCGAGCAUGGGGCUUCCUGGAAGAAGCUGCAAGUGUCACCUUCACAUCUCAUGCAUCUUCCAUCAUUUAUGUGAAUACAUCGGGAGACUCUGGUAGAAGGCAGUGCACUAUGAAAGUGUAGCUAACCAGUGACUGAAAACAAAGGCCUCCUUCAGCUAGGAAAGAUUCACUCCUGGGUAAAGAAUACUUCCCUUUUCCCUUGCAAAAUGAGUUUGAAUCUGAAAAGAAUGACUACCUUUCCAUACUCAAAAAAUAAAAGUGAAAAGAGCAUAGAGAAUCGCUUUGGUAAGUGAUUUGCAUAGGCAUUUGCAAAUAAUGGUAUAUAAAGGCUUAACGAUUUUACAGGUAAACCUGUAAUUUCAGAAGUGUGUGUAUACAGUGAUUUGGAAUUAUGAUACUAUAACUUGUCACCAAAUCAAUACAAUCACUGAAUGUGCAUUCAAAUUUGGACAGAAGUGGGGUAAAUUAUUUGAAAGCUGUAUAACUAUAAUUUAACAGGUAAUUAAAAAUAUCAUUUGUGACUUAUUAACUGGUUUAAUCUAGUUAAUAAAGAAAUUCUACAGUUCAUUUCUAGUAAAC